rnacentral:lncRNA from 1 species
GGGAAAUCAACUUUGUUUUGAGGGAAGCGGAGUAUUGCUUCUGCGCAGGUCCUGGAAUUUGAAACAUUUCGGGGCCUCCGAAGAGCACUGGCAUUAGUUACCAUGUCGGCUCCGGGGGAGUGAGGAUCCCUCGCUUUCCCCAAGCGGGACACAGACCCGAGACGCAGUUAACAGUAACCCCGCGCCCGACCGCACCGCUUGCUGCAUUCUCCUCCUUAAGAGCUGCUGGGGCUUGUUGGGUCAUAGCUGUCAUUACGCAGGGACCAGCCUAACUCAGCACAAGCUGCUGGAGCAGCAAAGUUGGAAUACACUUUGCCAAGAAAUAUUUCGCUGUUGUUUUCUUUUUCUGCUUUUUGUGGAGAGAUUUCAUGUCUGCUCACACUGUUUGGUAUGAGGAAGUGGAAGAUUAUUACAGCUUCCUCAUUGCUGCUAAGAAUCUACAUAGCAGUUACGCUGCAAGCCUUGACCCUGAAUCGUCAGCAAAAAACGCUAAUCCCUUUUUACUGUCUGAAGGGAUCUUAUUCCCUCUCACUGCUUUAGAAAACCAAUACCAGAACAGAACAAAGCAAAAAAUACCUUUUCUGAAGCCUUUGUCGUCAACCAACAAACAGGACUUACCGUGGAUUUUAUUUCUGUGGUAUCAAUAAUAUUGUCUUUUGAUCUGUAAAAAUGGCUGUUGUCACCUAUAGUACUUUACUGUUUAUCUCCAAAGAACAUAAGUCUCAUGCUCUGUGGUGAGACUUCUCUGAGCCAGGAAAAAUAAGCUAAGUUCUCCCUGUGACACUGUGGGAACGUCUGACUGCUGCUCCUCUUCUUCCUCAAUAUUAGGUCUGCAGACGUUCCAGUAGUUUCAGCUGUAAGGCAAUUUGGUUUUGCGGUAAAUCUUUUCUCCCAAAAUCUUUCCCUCUGACUGACUAUAUGUAUUUAAUCCCCCCUUGAACCCUGAAAAUGAUCUGUCUCUUUUCCUUAGGGAUCUUCUUUCUCUUGCUGUGCUUCCUUAUUGCUGGUUACUUGGAGACUGAGGAAACAAGUGAUAGAGAAAAAUGUAGUUUUCUCUUGGGAACUUAAUUCACAUUCUCAACUGGGAGAAAAGAAGUGUUUCAAUGGCAUUAGAAGAAACAAUGCUUGUAUUUUCCUGCGUAGUGAAAAUGUUAUGUAGUCUAUUUUCCUGGUGAAAAGUGGGAGUUCAG